GGAGAGAGGACAAGUAACAGGAAGGAAGAAAUGAGAAAAGUUAUCCUCUUAGCUUGCAGAGAAAAACAAAGCUUUCCAUGAUGCUGAGGUUUCAACACAUGGCAUUAGCUUGAGCAUUGUGGGAGCUGCUGUGAUUACAGCCUAUUGGUUCUUUAGGGGUGGACUUUUAUGGUCAAAAAAUGUGAGAUUAAGAAGGAAUUUGUGAGGUUGUGUCUGCAUGGUGCAAGAAAGCAAAUACCAUUCAUACUCAGUAGACUAAAAUGUGGAUGGUUUCACCAGGGCACCUUUGAGAUGGGCUGCCUGUGGCAGAAGAUUAAAAUUCACCAGCUGGGAACGAAGUCACGAAGUUGCAAAGAACCUAUCAUGCCAACUGAAAUCCAAGGUCAAGUUGUUGUUGACUUCAGUAGAUACCAAAUCCUAAAACGUUGUCAGCUUUUGGAAAUGGAUAGUUUUGUUGUCAUCCAUUUACAGGAAAACUGUGGUCUUUCCUGCUAAUCUGUAAUGUUUCUUCCACCAGUACUAUGACAAUAUCAUGAAAUGUCUCUAUACCGUUGUCCAUUUAAAUUUUAUGGAUAGAAAUAUACUUUGAUCUAGUUUAUUAAUGUUUUCAGUCAUUUGAUACAGGUCUACCCUUUUUCUAAAACAGUGAAUUAGUAUUUAUAAUGCACUAAUUGUCUUUAAAACUUUUGUUUUGAAGGACAUUCUUGAGUGGCAAUCUCCUAGUUACAUCGAAAUGGUGUUGUU
rnacentral:lncRNA from 1 species